UCACCUUUAGUUGCUACCAGGUUAUGCUGGGCACUCUAGAGGAACCGCCGGUGAUAAGCCGGAGGAAGCGGGGAUGACGUCAAGUCCUCAUGGCCCUUACGGGCUGGGCUACACACGUACUACAAUGGUGGUGACAGUGGGAUGCGAAAGCGCGAGCUGGAGCGAAUCCCCAAAAGCCAUCUCAGUUCGGAUUGCACUCUGCAACUCGAGUGCAUGAAGUUGGAAUCGCUAGUAAUCGUGGAUCAGAAUGCCACGGUGAAUACGUUCCCGGGCCUU
rnacentral:rRNA from 1 species